UGCCCAGCAACUCCUAUCCCUACCUCCUCGCGGUACCGGUCGGAAACUAUGAGCAACCUUAGGGAAGAUCGGGUAACCAACCCCGGUGAGAACUUUGGUCAUAGGCUGACAGGGAAGG
rfam:Aedes albopictus isolate Foshan contig99806, whole genome shotgun sequence.